AUGUAGAACUGCUGACUUUUUACUCUGCACUCACAGACUUCCAUUCUGUGAGUGCAGAGUAAAAAGUCAGCAGUUCUACAA
rnacentral:miRNA from 1 species